AUGGCAGAGAUUAAGGUGACGGGCCUG
rnacentral:sRNA from 1 species